GCCCAGCGACCCAAGCCACUCCCCUGCUCCGUGCUCUCCGCUCGCCGUUGACCACGACGCCGCCGGCAUGGAUCGAGUCGAGGAGCCGUUCCCGCGCGCCGCUGCUCCUCCGGAUGCCGGCUCUGGCGUGCCGCCGCCGCCCCCGGCCUGCGUCUCGUGAAGACAGAAGCCGGAGGGUUGCAGAUUCUUGCUGAACCAAGGAAUUGGUUUUUAUAGGGGAAUGAAUGAUAAUCAUGGGAUACAAAGCAACACAUUAGUCCAAUUUUACAGUGUACAAUGAAAUGUCGAACAGGACUGUAACAUUUCAUCACCAGGAAACACAAACCAGGUAGGAGUGGAUCACAAACUGCAACAGAACUACAGAAGUCUUCCCUCUAGCUGCUUUUAUUUACAAUCCUGAGUUUGAGUCAUAGGUUCAGCAUGAGUGCUUAUAUUUUCAUGGUUUGUUCUAAUGAUAAGCUAAGCAGCAUUAUUCUUUUAGUUGUAGGUGAAAAAUAUCCGUCAACAGAAUAAUGAAUGGUUGAGUGCAUAACUUGUGCUGGAAUGAAGUUCUUUUUUCUAAAAGGAAAUCAAAUUGUGGUAGCUGGACUUCAGCUACCAAUUCCUCUGUA